rnacentral:rRNA from 1 species
GUGCCAGCAGCUGCGGUAAUACGGAGGGUGCAAGCGUUACUCGGAAUCACUGGGCGUAAAGAGCGUGUAGGCGGAUAAAUAAGUUUGAAGUGAAAAUCCUAUAGCUUAACUAUAGAACUGCUUUAGAAAACUGUUAAUCUAGAAUGUGGGAGAGGUAGAUGGAAUUUCUGGUGUAGGGGUAAAAUCCGUAGAGAUCAGAAGGAAUACCGAUUGCGAAGGCGAUCUACUGGAACAAUAUUGACGCUGAGACGCGAAAG